UACCAGCACCCCGAGUUGUCGGGACGAUUAUUGGGCCUAAAGCAUCCGUAGCCUGUUCUGCAAGUCCUCCGUUAAAUCCACCUGCCUUAACGGAUGGGCUGCGGGGGAUACCGCAGAGCUAGGAGGCGGGAGAGGCAAACGGUACUCAGUGGGUGAGGGGUAAAAUCCGUUGAUCCGAUUGAAGAACCACCAGUUGGCGAAGGCGGCUUGCCAGAA
rnacentral:rRNA from 1 species